UACGUAGGCAGCAAGCGUUUGUUCGGAGUUACUGGGCGUAAAGGGUGUGUAGGCGGUCCUCUAAGUUUGGUGUGAAAUCUCCCGGCUCAACUGGGAGGGUGCGCCGAAAACUGGGGGGCUAGAGUGCGGGAUGGGAAAGUGGAAUUCCUGGUGUAGCGGUGAAAUGCGUAGAUAUCAGGAGGAACACCUGUGGUGUAGACGGCUUUCUGGACCGCAACUGACGCUGAGACACGAAAGCGUGGGUAGCAAACAGG
rnacentral:rRNA from 1 species